ACUGCGAUAGCUUAGCUGGUAGAGCAUCUGUCCGGUGUGUAGAGUGUCGCCGGUUCGAUUCCGGCUCGCGGAG
rnacentral:tRNA from 1 species